rnacentral:lncRNA from 1 species
GGAAAAUCAGUAGUUUUAUUGUACGUGUAUUAGAUGUAUUCUCUACUGGACUUAUGAUGAUACAUUAUAACUUGUGUAAACAACCCCUGUAAACCAAAUGUUGUUGCUAAGAGCAUCUCAUUCAUUUCAAAGGUGCUUCCUUGUUUCAUUUUGUUCUCUCAUCUUUUGAUGUUAAUACAGCAAAAGGCAUUUAUGUUUUUCUAUUGGAAUCCAUUGUAUACUAUGUAUACAUCCAUCAACUGUGCACAAAUAAAUACAGAAACAUGAACUGCUCUGAGGGAUCGCCUCACUCAGCUAAGUUGUAGAGAAUAUGUAGAGAAUAUAUAUAUAACGAUAAGCUUUACAGUGUGUUGAAAAGUCAGUUGGUAAUGCCAGCUAAUCUCUUCACUUAAGGCCAGAUGAAGUGUUAUGGACAAACCCACAGGCAUUCAGUGACACUGGAAUUCUGCUGAGGUGACUGUUGAGUCUUUCCCAGGAACAAAAACCUGGCCUGAUAAUCCUCUUCAACUGUGUGAUGGAUCUAAACCAUCUCUAGUGUUUCAGAUAUGAGGCCGAGCCACAGGUUAAAGUCUAUACUGGUAUUAACUUUGGUACAAUGCAUUUAUUUAAAGCAAGACUAAAGAAAAUAGAUAAAUGCAUAUAAAUUCAUAUAAAAAGUGCAGUGCAUAGAAUGGGCAGUUUUUCAGGUGUAACCUAAAAGUGUACGGAAGCCAUAAAAUAUCUGCAUUCAUUUGCACUCACAUUAAAUUGGACUAUUUCUCUUUGCCAGCCCUGCACAUCCCCUGUCAAUUAAAAAAGUGGUGGUCAGCUAUUUCCAACUCUUUUUCGAUUUUCAUAACAAAUCAAAUUUUCCCCUGCUAGGAUUCUAACAUUAGACGCUGCAAGCACUAACUUGCCAUUGAAAUCACAGUAUUGAAAAGUCAGAUGCACUACCUUCUCCAGCCAAAGUUAAAUGAAAUCAUAUACUUUUUUUAUAUUUUUUAAUAAUUAAAUAAUAUACUACAUAUUAUCAUUUAAAUACAUAUCCGUGUUAUUUCAGUAUCAUUGAGGUAUUAGUCUUUAUUAACAGUUUGAAUUAGUUUCUGUUUUUGUAGUUUCUGUUUUCGUUUUGAUUUCAGUUAGUUUACAUAAUUUUGUUGUGCGUUUUUGUCAUUUUAAUUAGUUGUCACCUUUCAUGAAUUAUUUUGUUUUUUGUUUCUUUAUUACAUUAAGUUAACUAAAUGAAAAAUCAGAAAUGUUUUUUGGAAACUAGCUGAAAUAAAAUAAGUUAAAUAGUUGUAUUUGAUUUAUUUGUAUUUAUUUUUCAGUUAACAUUUAUUUUAUGUCAAGUACCAAAGAUGUUUUUUUAUGGGUUUAGUUUUAGUUAACUAUAAUAAACAGUAUGUGAUUUAUAUAUAUAAACUCAUAAAUUAUAAAUUAAAAUAUAAGUAACUGACCUGACAUUGAAAUCAUAGUAUUGAAAAGUCAAAAGCACAACCUUCUCAAG